rnacentral:tRNA from 2 species
GGGGCCGUAGCCCAACGGCAGGAGGCGGCGAUUUUAGGUGUCGUACAGUCCGGGUUCGAAUCCCGGCGGCCCCACGA